rnacentral:piRNA from 1 species
UGAUUCUGAAUUCCCCUCUUUGG